CGGUUGGCGGGGGUGGGUAGGGUGUGGACUGCUUCUGGAGUCCUGAGGAGGUCCAGGUGGCCCCCGAGUCUCGAGUAGGUCGUCAGGAUCACGCCAGGGGAGCUGCCUGUGGCCACUGCAAGACAAGCAGAAGCCAGCUCAGCCCUAGGUGGGGGGCUGUGGAGCCAAAGGAUUGACACCCCUGCCUCACAGCAGGAAAUACGUGGGACAGCAUCCUGUGGACCUGAUGUGCGGACAAGGCUGAGAUCAGACGGGGUCAGACGGCCUGGAGGUGUGUAACCUCCACCAGCGACCUCAGCAUGUGACAUGCUCAGUCAUGCUGCCUCCCCCGCUCCCUGGCAACACUGAAGCCCCCAAAGCCUGUGCCGGCUCCCCAUGCCCACCGCAAUCAAGGCACAGCCCAGGAUGAGUGAGCCCGCUUCCAGUCCAUCCGGGCCGUGUACGUGACGAAGGCAGCGGUGGCCAGCAUGACACAGACCAGCAUGCCCAGCCAGAGGCCUACAGGACACGGGGAAGACCAAGCUGAGAUGA